rnacentral:misc_RNA from 1 species
UGAAAUUAAAGCAAAAGACAUUAAUUAACGAUUAAACCAUACAUUAAAGAAUAUGCAAACCCUAAUAAUCAUUUAGAAAAAAAUAAUCAGCAUAUGAAUGUUAUGAUUUUACAUAGUGGGUCGAGUCUGUGUAUGGAAGGGCCUGUGGUGCAUGCACUGGAGAAAAGAUUUAUGGAAUGAUCACCAUCAAAAAUUACAUGCACAGAUAAAGCAUCAAUGUUAAAGCCGCAAUCAACGUGGGCCACUUGGAAGAUCUGAGUCUUGGAUGAAGGGCAUGAUUUGUAGAAAUAUCAGACUCUAACAAAGACCCAAGGGUGAAAUUAGGGUUAGAUCCAUAGAGAGCUUGGACUCCUUGUAUGUCAUCUACACUCAAAUCCACCUUCUUUUUCCCAGGCUUCAAGCUAGGGUACAUCACUGCUUCAUUAACUGAAGAGUGGGCUAACCCUAACAAGUGUCCAAUCUCAUGUACAGCCACUGAUUCCAAAUCUACCGCAACCUUUGAUUUCUCCGAUUCGAAAUCAACGGCCCACGUUUCCGCAGCGUCGAGAUGAAACCUGCCGCUUUCUGGUGAAAAUGAGUGGGCCAGCACUCCUAAAACCCCAUCGAAUGGUUCUCCAUCUCCAUGAUCCCCACUGUAAAAUCCUAUUUUAAUAUCAGCGAAACCAUAAUCAUCUGUCUCUAUAAAGCUCACCGGAAUCACCGAUCCCCAUCGAGCGAAAGCGCGUUUAAACACCUUCUUUAUAUCGGAUAAGCUCAAGUAACUUAUCAAAUUCUCCGGCGAGAACGCGUACGUGAGAUUCAUCGGUAUGUGGCGACUCCACCGAGGUUUCCCUGGAAAAUAAACGUAAUUUCUUGAAGCAUGCAGUUUGCGAACCGUAUCGGGUACCCCGCAUCUCGGUGCCAUUAUUUGCGAGAGGGUAUAAGAAUCGAGCUUACCGGUUAUAGGGAGACCUACUUUUGCUUGAUACCGAAAAACUGCCGAUUCGAACCGAGCAUCGAAAAUAUCUGUUAUGUUAUCGAAAUCUCUUAACUGGAGAUAACCGAAAUGAUGGAAGUAUCUUUUGAGCUCGGACAUGCCGCUGACGUGGCUGCCCCUCCCGGCAUUGAGGAAGCUUUUGAAGUUGUGCCACGUGUAGUUGUUAUAGUCUUGGGUGGUUGUUUCCACUGGCUGCGUUAGUGCAAAUCCCGGGUUUCCUCUGGAGUCGAUGCAUGACGGGUUGUGGAGGAGAAAUAUGACAAGGAAAGUGCAGAAAAGAGAUGGAAGCAUGGUGAAGUAAAGGUCAUAGGUGUUUGAGACUUUGCAUUGCAGGUGUAGAGUGAAGCUUUAUUGCAAAGAAAAGGUUAAAUGGGUAAAUUUAAGAUCAUGAUUAAUUAGAAAGUUGGAAUGCAUAAUACACAUAUGAUUAGGGUAGGACUUAUCACAGAGAGAAAUCAGGGAAG